rnacentral:rRNA from 1 species
AUUGAACGCUGGCGGCAGGCUUAACACAUGCAAGUCGAGCGGGGGGAGGUAGCUUGCUACCCGACCUAGCGGCGGACGGGUGAGUAAUGCUUAGGAAUCUGCCUAUUAGUGGGGGACAACAUUUCGAAAGGGAUGCUAAUACCGCAUACGCCCUAAGGGGGAAAGCAGGGGAUCUUCGGACCUUGCGCUAAUAGAUGAGCCUAAGUCGGAUUAGCUAGUUGGUGGGGUAAAGGCCUACCAAGGCGACGAUCUGUAGCGGGUCUGAGAGGAUGAUCCGCCACACUGGGACUGAGACACGGCCCAGACUCCUACGGGAGGCAGCAGUGGGGAAUAUUGGACAAUGGGGGGAACCCUGAUCCAGCCAUGCCGCGUGUGUGAAGAAGGCCUUUUGGUUGUAAAGCACUUUAGGCGAGGAGGAGGCUACCGAGAUUAAUACUCUUGGAUAGUGGACGUUACUCGCAGAAUAAGCACCGGCUAACUCUGUGCCAGCAGCCGCGGUAAAAC